rnacentral:rRNA from 1 species
AGUGGGGAAUAUUGCACAAUGGACGAAAGUCUGAUGCAGCAACGCCGCGUGGAGGAUGACACAUUUCGGUGCGUAAACUCCUUUUAUAUGAGAAGAUAAUGACGGUAUCAUAUGAAUAAGCACCGGCUAACUCCGUGCCAGCAGCCGCGGUAAUACGGAGGGUGCAAGCGUUAUUCGGAAUCACUGGGCGUAAAGGGUGCGUAGGCGGUUUGGAAAGUCAGGUGUGAAAUCCUACAGCUUAACUGUAGAACUGCACUUGAAACUUCCAGACUAGAAUACUGAAGGGGCAGAUGGAAUUAGUGGUGUAGGGGUAAAAUCCGUAGAUAUCACUAGGAAUACCGAAAGCGAAAGCGAUCUGCUGGGAAGUUAUUGACGCUGAGGCACGAAAGCGUGGGGAGCAAACGGGAUUAGAUACCCCGGUAGUCCACGCCCUAAACGAUGAAUGCUAGUCGUCGGAAAGCUCGUCUUUUCGGUGAUGCAGUUAACACAUUAAGCAUUCCGCCUGGGGAGUACGGUCGCAAGAUUAAAACUCAAAGGAAUAGACGGGGACCCGCACAAGUGGUGGAGCAUGUGGUUUAAUUCGAAGAUACGCGAAGAACCUUACCUAGCCUUGACAUUGAUAGAAUCUGAUAGAGAUAUCGGAGUGCCUGCUUGCAGGAACUUGAAAACAGGUGCUGCACGGCUGUCGUCAGCUCGUGUCGUGAGAUGUUGGGUUAAGUCCCGCAACGAGCGCAACCCUCGUCGUUAGUUGCUAACAGUUCGGCUGAGCACUCUAGCGAGACUGCCUUCGCAAGGAGGAGGAAGGUGAGGACGACGUCAAGUCAUCAUGGCCCUUAUGGCUAGGGCUACACACGUGCUACAAUGGGGCGUACAGAGAGUUGCGAUACCGCGAGGUGGAGCCAAUCUCAUAAAGCGUCUCUCAGUUCGGAUUGAUCUCUGCAACUCGAGAUCAUGAAGCUGGAAUCACUAGUAAUCGUAGAUCAGCAAUGCUACGGUGAAUACGUUCCCGGGUCUUGUACUCACCGCCCCGUCACACCAUGGGAGUUGAUUUCACCCGAAAUCGGGAAGCGAACCUUCGGGGCGUUACCGCUUACGGUGGAAUUAGCGACUGGGGUG